AAAAUACAUAUUCUUCAUAUACAUAUAUAUAUAUAUAUAUAUAUAUAUACAUAUGAAAUGCUUAAUAUCAUAUUUUAUUUAAUUAAAAUUUAGGCUUAAUUAGGCUUAAUUAUAGAAAAUCUCUCUAUAAAUAUCUAUUUAUUUACUUUUUUUUUUCUAAUUUUUAAACAUUUAUAUUUUGCCCUAUUAAAAUUUUAAAAGUAGAGUACGACAUUAAUGAAGAGGACAAAAUAAUCAAAUUAUCUUUUAUUUUUUUAUAAAAAAUAAUUUUAAUAUAUUUAUGUCAUUUUGAAGAAUAUUUUCAAUAUAUAUUAUAAGAAAUUGACAGAAUAGUGAUAAAACCUGACGGAAGGGGGUUAAAUGCAAUAACUUAAAAUAUUUAGGGAGUAAAAUAUAGAAUUUUAAAAAUUAGAAAGAAAAAGUGAAGAAACAGAUACUUUACUGUCAUUAAAGUUUUUUUUUUUUUGAUAAGAUUAUAUCGACAAUAAUAAUAUUGAACUUCUAUAAAUUAUUAUUAUUUUAAAUAUCAAUUAUUUAUUGCUCUAGGGAGAAAAAAUAAUAGU
rnacentral:lncRNA from 1 species